rnacentral:lncRNA from 1 species
GCUAUCAUGAGGAAAACUGCUAUAAGCAUUUGCAUGAGGGAGGUAUCCAGAGAGGCUAAUGGAAGAGACAGGCUUUGGGAUUUAUUUGCAGAGAGGUUAGGCAUUCAGACAUGUGGAAAGAGAGAUGAAAGGAAAGUGCACCUGAGGCUGAACAAGUGACUAAAGGAGAAGCCACUGUGCCUGUCGAAAGAACAAUGAAUAAUCCAGAAUUGAUAGAUAAGUAAGACUGGGGAAGGAAGAGAAAGGAAGACACAGCCUCUGAGAGCCGGAUGAAGACACAAAUGGGAUGGAGGCUGCGGCUGUUAAACCAUCAGGACUCAGCGGCUGUUAAACCAUCAGGACUCAGCAAUUAUUUCAUGUGGAGACAAGUGAUGGCAAAGCCAAAAGGCCACGGGUGUUGAGCUGUUGACGAGAAACUGAAAGUGCCAUUGUGUUUAUACAGGAAGCUGCCAUUAGUAGGGAUUUGAAAAAGCAAGAGGAGAGGAUGAGUUUAGUGGGGAGUUCUUACACUUCAGGUGCUAGUGGAUACCACCAAGUCAAUAUUGAGUAGCAGGAAACCAGGGCCUGAUGUUCCGUCAGGCCAUCAGGGCGGAGACAUUGUGGAGAGGAAGUUUUGAGGCUGUGAGAUUAGGAGAGAAGCAUGGAGUGUAGAGCAGGAACUAGGCCUCUCUUUACCCAAAAUCCAAAACCCCACUUAUGCCAGACACACUCAAUACUUUCUGCUGGGAUCCUCAAUUCUCAUAAAGUUUUCAUAAUAAGGCCGGGCGGGGUGGCUUAUGCCUGUAUUCCCAGCACUUUGGGAGGCCGAGGCGGGCGGAUCACCUGAGGUCAGGAGUUCAAGACGAGUCUGGCCAACAUGGUAAAAACCUGUCUCUACUGAAAAUACAAAAAUCAGCCGGGCUUGGUGGUAGGCGCCUACAGCUAGUCGGGACGCUGAGGCAUGGGAAUCGCUUGAACCCAGGAGGCAGAGGUUGCAGUGAGCCAAGAUCAUGCCACUGCACACCAGCCUGGGGGAUACAGCAAGACUCUGUCACAAUAAAAAAAACAAAAAGUUUUCAUAAAUUGGGAUGUUUCCUCUAUUCCUUCCCCUGUCUCAUUCUUGAGGGAUUGAAGAUAGUGUUUGAAAUCUCACUGGCAACCCUUCCUGCUCCCUUUCCCAGCAGUUCCAUGACCUUAUCCACUCUAACAAGCCCCGUUUCCUCCCUGCUUCUGCCACUCGCUGAACACAGUACCUUGGCAUUGCUGUCCUACAUACUCCAUUCUAGCCGUGACCGCUCUUCCGGAACACAAUCUCCUACUAGCUGCUAGGUCUGAGUGACUAACAUAAAAUUCUCCCUGGUCUGUCAGUAUUUGAAAUACAGCCGCUUGUCUUGAAAUGUUUAUUGUCACUUGUUCUUGGUAUAAGAUGAGCAUUUAAAAUACACACACACACACACACACACACGCACGCACAUAUACAGGUAUAUCUGAGGGUUUACUAUGUGCCAAGAACCAUGCUGGAAUCCUUUCAUAAAUAUGGCCUCCAUCAUUCCUGAGAACAAUCCUAUUAAAAUGUGAUGUGAAUGCAUUUUCUCAUUCAUUAAAAGUGUGUGUGUGUGUGUGUGUGUGAGAGAGAGAGAGAGAGAGAGAGAGAGAGAAUAUGACAUCCAUCUGGUAACAGAGACCUGAUCUCAGUUUCCCCAUCUGGGUACUGCUUAUAGAAAUUGAUUUUGGACUUCAAGGUAGAAUAUGAUGCAAGCUAACCCUAGGGGAACCCUGACAAAUUAAAGGGGAAAAUGCCUGUAGGGAGAUGCCAUGCUGAGUCCCCACAGAGCCCAGUUCAGCUGGGGAUGUUGCUCUGAGAACAUGCAGAUGAAUGUCUUAUUUGUUUUGGGCUUCUUAGACUUCAAUCCAUUCCAGGAACCCUUUUAGGGUUUACUAUGCAGCCAAGUGUAAAAUGCAUCUGAUUUUUAGGAAAUUUGCUAAAAGAAGCUAUACAACUCAUGCCAAAAACCUCUCCACAGCAGCUAAAAGUUCCAUUAAAGUAUGUCAUUAAACACAUGUUCCAAAAAGGUUUUGUAUCUCAUUUUGUUCUCUGGGGUCUACAUUUUGAAGUAAAACAUCUUCACUAACUUGGGCAUUUGAUGUUAAAAUACUAAAAAUAAUGGACAAAAUUAUGACAAGGAGAAGGCAAGGCUGGGACGGGCCACAGUGAAUAAAAAUUCAAUCUGUUUUCCCAAACCCACUGCCAUGCUAACUGGUAUGUGUCUGCUUCUCUCAGUGAUUCUGCGAGCUAUGGUCCCAGUGUCCCUAGUGGCAGUGGCAUGAAACCAUCUCAGGGCCAACCUCCAAGGAAACAGCAUUCAAGUGCCUUUACUCACACGGGAGCUGUGAGCCGGGGAUUUUCUGCUGCAAGUGACAGACCACCCAAUGCAAGCUAAAAUUAAAAAGAGGGACUUAGGGGCUUUCAUAAACCACUCCAGAGCUAGGCCUAGGUUCAGAAGAGCCAUCCAAGGGCAAGUGUAUCAGCAUCUGUGGUGGCAGCUGCCCUCCAGCGUCCUUCUGGCCUGUCCAGGUGCCCCAUUCUGUAGGAUCUCCUGUGCUCUCCCCACUGCCCAUCUCCACAGAUGAGAGGGAGGUCUCUCUCUCCAGAGAAUCCAAAACUGCCUUCAUGACUCUCUGGGCACUAAGUAGGACACGUUCUUAUCUGCAGAUCAAUCCCUGUGGCCGCCGUGUGGCUUUGUUAACUGACUGACUGGUGACUCCAGUUCAGCCCUGGAGCUGGACUGGGUCAGGGCCCCCAAAUUCCACAGGCAAAACAUGGGAUGUCUCUGCUCCCUGCAGGUCAAAUGUCAGUGCCAUUCCCAGGAGCACAGGGAAUGGAGGUGGGCAGCGCAAUCCAC